rnacentral:rRNA from 1 species
GGCCAGACUCCUACGGGAGGCAGCAGUGGGGGAUAUUGCACAAUGGGGGAAACCCUGAUGCAGCGACGCCGCGUGGGCGAAGAAGUAUUUCGGUAUGUAAAGCCCUAUCAGCAGGGAAGAAGAAAUGACGGUACCUGAGUAAGAAGCACCAGCUAAAUACGUGCCAGCAGCCGCGGUAAUACGUAUGGUGCAAGCGUUAUCCGGAUUUACUGGGUGUAAAGGGAGCGCAGGCGGCACGGCAAGCCUGAUGUGAAAGCCCGCGGCCCAACCGCGGGACUGCAUUGGGAACUACCGGGCUGGAGUGCAGGAGGGGCAGGCGGAAUUCCUGGUGUAGCGGUGAAAUGCGUAGAUAUCAGGAGGAACGCCGGUGGCGAAGGCGGCCUGCUGGACUGCGACUGACGUUGAGGCCCGAAAGCGUGGGAGCAAACAGGAUUAGAUACCCUGGUAAC